UACAGAGGGGGCAAGCGUUGUUCGGAAUUACUGGGCGUAAAGGGCGCGUAGGCGGCCUGCUAAGUCGAACGUGAAAUCCCCGAGCUCAACUCGGGAACUGCGUCCGAUACUGGCAGGCUUGAAUCCGGGAGAGGGAUGCGGAAUUCCAGGUGUAGCGGUGAAAUGCGUAGAUAUCUGGAGGAACACCGGUGGCGAAGGCGGCAUCCUGGACCGGCAUUGACGCUGAGGCGCGAAGGUCAGGGGAGCAAACGGG
rnacentral:rRNA from 1 species